rnacentral:antisense_RNA from 1 species
AAGCGGAAUGAGCAACAAAACCACAGCUGGAAGAGAGUAGGCUAAAAACCAUUUCAUAUAAUAUUGUCUUCUUUUUUUAUUUUUAAUGGCCAUAAAAAACGGAUAAGUUGCUAAAUAUAACAAUAACCACCCAAGAAACAGCGGAAAAUGAAGCCAAGAAAAUCCCCCAUAAUAUGCCCCUAAUAAAAACGG